AGUGAACGCUGGCGGUAGGCCUAACACAUGCAAGUCGAACGGCAGCACAGUAAGAGCUUGCUCUUACGGGUGGCGAGUGGCGGACGGGUGAGGAAUACAUCGGAAUCUACUUUUUCGUGGGGGAUAACGGAGGGAAACUUACGCUAAUACCGCAUACGACCUACGGGUGAAAGCAGUGGAGCUUCGGACCUUGCGCGAUUGAAUUAGCCGAUGUCGGAUUAGCUAGUUGGCGGGGUAAAGGCCCACCAAGGCGACGAUCCGUAGCUGGUCUGAGAGGAUGAUCAGCCACACUGGAACUGAGGCACGGUCCAGACUCCUACGGGAGGCAGCAGUGGGGAAUCUUGGACAAUGGGCGAAAGCCUGAUCCAGCCAUACCGCGUGGGUGAAGAAGGCCUUCGGGUUGUAAAGCCCUUUUGUUGGGAAAGAAAAGCAGCAGGUUAAUACCCCGCUGUUCUGACGGUACCCAAAGAAUAGGCACCGGCUAACUUCGUG
rnacentral:rRNA from 1 species